AUAACUGUGGUAAUUCUAGAGCUAAUAUUUUAAAGAAUGCCGUGACUAACGAAGCGGUGGAUUUAUUAGAUCAAAACUAACCUGUCGCAAGACAGAACUUUGAUGACUCUGGAUAACUUUACUGAUCGUACGACAUUAUGUCGACGACGAAUCUCUUGAAAUGGCUGACCUAUCAACUUUCGAUGGUAAGAUCAAAGCUUACCAUGGUUGUAACGGGUAACGGGGAAUCAGUGUUCGAUUCCGGAGAGGGAGCCUGAGAAACGGCUACCACAUCCACGGAAGGCAGCAGGCGCGAAAAUUACCCACUGGCCGUAGCCCGAGGUAGUGACAAUAAAUAACAAUAUGGGCCCUAGUGGUUUCAUAAUUGCAAUGAGAAUAUUUUAAAUACUUUAUCAAGUAUCAAUUGGAGGGCAAGUCUGGUGCCAGCAGCCGCGGUAAUUCCAGCUCCAAAAGCGUAUAUUAAAGUUGUUGCAGUUAAAAAGCUCGUAGUUGAAAUUGAGGAAAUGAUUUUAUAUGAAGUUUAUGACUGAUUAUGAGAUCUUCCUUCUCCGUCGUGUAUAUUGUUAAGUCACUUUAUUGGGAUUUUUCAAUAACCGACAAGUUUACUUUGAAAAAAUUAGAGUGCUUAAAGCGGGCUUAUGCUUGCAUAUUCUUGCAUGGAAUAAUGAAAUAAGACUUCGGUUUUAUUUUGUUGGUUUUCGAAACUGAAGUAAUGAUUAAAAGAGACUGCCGGGGGCAUAUGUAUGCUGGUGCUAGAGGUGAAAUUCUGAGACCAUCAGCAGACAAUCUACU
rnacentral:rRNA from 1 species